GCUGCUGUCGUAGUUCCAUCUACAAAUGGAUAAUACUUUGGUUUUAGUGUAUACAAGUCUUUGAAGGAUCAAUACCAAACUUCUUGUUCUAUCAAGAAGUUUGGUAUGAAUCUGUUUAAUUCAGUAGUGUUUUAUUUACAUAAACAUUUUUCAUUUUCAUUUCUUUUAUUCAACUUAAGAAAAGAAAUGAAAAUGGCUGGUUAUUUCAUGAUCGAAUGUCGUAGGUUCUUUUGUACCAAUCUGUAAUUUAUGUAUUACCGUUGUUCAAAAUUGUUUUCUUUUUUCCUAAAAUCAUUUGAUCCUUUUAAAGGAUUGACAUUUUAUGUACAAUAUCUGUAUUUCAGUAGGAAGGAAAGUGAGGUAAUGAAUACUAAAGUCAAAAAUUUUGACUAUUCAAAAUUGAAUCCUUUUGAGAGAUAGGAGGGGCGGAUGUAGCCAAGUGGAUCAAGGCAGUGGAUUUGUGAAU
rnacentral:misc_RNA from 1 species